GGACAGCUGCGUUUUCGAGAGCGGUUUCAAAAUACGUCUCAGUGUGGACGGGAGGCCAAACCGGAGAGAAAACGAUGCGUCUUCAAACGAAAACGCAUUAGUGUGGACGUAGCCGAAGAAGAAGGCCUUCAGAAGCAAAGUGAAAGAGGAGAUGAAAGCAGCACAGCGGGAGGUGAAACGCUGCCUGAGGGAAGCAAAAGACACCUACAGGAGGAAGGAGGAGUAGAUGUUGGAGAGGAACAAUAUGAGGGAGGUCUGGAAUGGUGUGAAAACCAUCACGGGCCACAACACCAAGAACAGCACAGUGGGGUGGGGGACUGUGGAGAAGGCAAACGAGCUCAACAACUUCUUCAACAGGUUUGACUGGCACACAACCCCCCCACCCUCACCUUCACUACAGAGCCCUCUCCCUACUCUCCUACCCCCAGAGGAACGCACCUGAGGGAUUAAUAAAGUUUCACCUAAUCUUUACACUCAGCAGAGUUCCAUGAAAUUACAAUAAAAUCGACCUAAAAUUAAACCACAGUCUAAUCAUCCAACAACAGCUGACACAGCAGAAUAUCAAGCAUUCAUAAAUGCAUGUGUACAGUAAGGGGAGGGGGGCUCAGCUGUUCAUAUGGCUUGAAUACAAAGACGACUCCUCAGCCAGGCCUCAUUUCAAAGCCCUAUAGCGCCACCCUGAGGCCAGCCCCAGUCCUACCUGUACACGGGCAGGGGCUGUUGAGGCUAGCAGGAGGCGCUCCAGUUGAACUUGUUGUCCCAUCAGUCACUGCGUGGACGCAAACAUCUGUUUGUGUCAUGCUCGCACACUUCAGCUGCAUUUAUGAAUCAUUUGAACGCUCCUUUAUUUAUUUUGUGCAUCUCGAUGAUGUUUUAUUCUGCCGGGCUGUUCUUUUGGUCCGCCUCUCAGACUAAAGGUCAGCUGUUACAUCACAUACACUUAAUCCAUACAUGUUUUUUUACAGGCUACUGACAAAAAAACAAAGACAGCACUCUUUUAACCACAUCCUCGUUGAAAACACAUAAAUGCAGAACUUCAGCAGCACAGGAAGUUUUGGUUUUAGUUGUUUAUUUAUCCAGGUAAAAAAUCUAAUUUCCAACAGAGUCCUGGUGUUAUGAAGGAAGAAAGGCUCAGAGUUUUAAGUCAUCACCAUCAUGGGCUCAUCUGAUUAGAAUGAGAAUAAGCAGUCAUCAAUCCUUUAUAGGGUUCUUCUUUUAUUCUCAGAAUCAAUAAGGAAAGACACACAUGGAGUGCUAACGCUGAAAGGAAACAAGGUGUGAUUUAAGUCACUCAAUAACUCAAAAUAACACAUGAACUCAGGAGACUCCAACAGAAACUCACCUCAGCUGCCGGCCCAUGUGUGAGCAAAGAAAGAGUGAGCUGUAGGUGAGUGCAAUCAAGGGCAAGCACCACACCCAAUCAAAGGUGAGGAAAAGAAACAAGGUGCAUGUGGUGAAGUGAGUGUGCUGAAAGGUGAGUCUUUACAACACCUGGCAUCACGUCAAAUAUACACGUACCACAUAAACACAUAACAUUUAAAACAAAUACAAUAUUUCGUACAAACAUCUGAAAAAUAUACAAUAACAGAUCCUUAAGAGUGACAUUAAAAACAAUCACACUGAGUAAAAGAGUUGUUCUCUCGUUCCUUUAAGAUGGAGGCAGAGCCUUCAGUUUUCAGGCCCCUCUUCUGUGGAACCAGCUUCCAGUUUGGAUCCAGGAGACAGACACUAUCUCUACUUUCAAGAUUAGGCUUAAAACUUUCCUUUUUGCUAAAGCAUAUAGUUAGGGCUGGACCAGGUGACCCUGAAUCCUCCCUUAGUUAUGCUACAAUGGACUACUUGCACUAAGGCAUGUGACGUAUUUCCAUUUCCAAAUACUACCGCUUGGGCGUUUCCUGUAUGUUUGUUUAUCUAUCGGUAGCUACGCUAAUGUCACUUCAGAAUGAGUAUAAAAAGGAAAGUAUUUAAAACAGAACAUUUUCAAAAACAGGAGAAGAAAUACUCCGAGCAUUGCUGUGUCCCACUUUGUUCGGCUUCAGCCAAAUUUAACGGCAUACUAAGUUUUCAUGGCUUUCCGACCCAUUCCGACUUGAGAAGACAAUGGCUGGUAAACAUGAACACCUGGAUCAUUUCACGAUUACCUCUCACACCAGGGUCUGCAGCAGACACUUUGCCAGUGAUCAACUCAUAGAGCCAACAACUCUUGAUGGUCGAAGGCGGCUUAUUAAAGGUGCUGUACCAACACUUUUUGAGUGGAAUGGCUAUAAAGUUGAACCACCGCGGCGUAGUGUUUGGGAGAGAACGGAGUGACGCCCUGAACUAGUUCCUCCUGACGAUCAAGAAAAGCACAGUCUUACAAGAGAUCAUGACUACUGCUCAGUCCCUGAGCCGUCUGCAUUGGACAUAUCUGCACCAGCUGCAGAAGACCUGUCCAAAGAUGUGGAGACUCUGAGGAAGGAAAUACAGGCGUUACGUGUCCAGUGAGAAUUUGGGUUACAGCGUUUUGCUGGCUCUGACACUGACAUCCGAUUCUACACCAGAUUUCCAAGCUAUGAUCAUUUGAUGGCAUUUUGGUUUUUGAUUGAGCCUUGCAUCUACAAAAUGAUCCGGGUUUCAAGAGCCAAGUCAGCUGCCAAUAGGAACGAAGAAGUGUUGACACCUGCACGCACAUCAGCGAGGCAGCUGCUACAGCCAAUUGACGAGUUCUUUCUUUUCCUGGUUUUCCUGUCAGUUGGUUUGAAGGAGAGGGACCUGGCACACCAAUUUAACAUACACCAGUCCACAGUGAGCCGCAUUAUUGCAACAUGGACAAAUUUUCUUGCCACUGCACUGGGGUCUCAAUGCAUCUGGCUUACACGUGAAGAAGUGCAAGCUUAAGAUUUCUCAGACACCCAGAUGAUCCUUGACUGUACAGAGCUGAGGUGUCAGACACCAUCCUCACCACUUCUCCAAAGUGAAAUGUACUCUUCGUACAAAUCCCACUGUACGAUGAAAGCCCUGGUUGGCAUAGCUCCACAUGGUCCAGUGACAAUCAUCUCUGUGCUGGUUCGGUUAGUGACAAGGAACUAUUCAAACAAUCAGGCAUUGCUGAGAAGUUGACUGAAGACAUGGCAGUGAUGGUAGAUAAGGGCUUCCUAAUCACCGAUUGUUGUAAAUGCAAAGUGUACUGCCCACCUUUUCUAUCUAAGCAGAA